AGCUAGUCCAAUGGUAGUGGGUUAUCAGAACUUAUCAGUGUCACUAAAGUUGGUAUUCAACCCCCCACUGCUAAAUUUGACUGGCUUUAA
rnacentral:Y_RNA from 1 species